GCUCCCUUCGUCUAGUGGUUAGGACACUGGCCUCUCACGUCGGCAACAGGGGUUCGAACCCCCUAGGGAGCGCCA
rnacentral:tRNA from 1 species